rnacentral:ncRNA from 1 species
GUUGGUGCUGGAUUAAGAAAUCGGUUCAGCACAUAAAAAUAAACUCCUCUAAUUGCUGGAACACCCUAACUAAAUUGAUUUAGAGGGCAAUCAGCAGCGAAGCAUAAUAAGAUUAAAAAACAAGGAAAGUAUACAUGUGAUAUACAAAAAUACAUUGAAGACUAGUAUUUUAAAGAAAGUAGAUAUUACAUGUAGAAAUAUUAUGAACGUUCAACGACUAUCGAAAGUAGAAAAUGUUCUGAUGAGUAGAGUAGGAUUCAAGUGAAUUCGAAACGGGGAGCACUCAAAUGAGUGAAGAUAUAGUCUGAACUGUAUGGAAACAUGCAG